AUUCUCUUUGACAGAGUGUAAACUAAAGUUGGAACAAAACAGAGAUUAGCAUAGUCCCUGCUAAAGUCAUGGAACACAUGUACAUGUAAAUGUAAAACUCAGA
ensembl:snRNA U6 U6 spliceosomal RNA